rnacentral:rRNA from 1 species
UCCUACGGGGCGCAGCAGUGGGGAAUAUUGGGCAAUGGGCGCAAGCCUGACCCAGCAACGCCGCGUGAAGGAAGAAGGCUUUCGGGUUGUAAACUUCUUUUCUCAGGGACGAAGAAAGUGACGGUACCUGGGGAAUAAGCCACGGCUAACUACGUGCCAGCAGCCGCGGUAAUACGUAGGUGGCAAGCGUUAUCCGGAUUUAUUGGGUGUAAAGGGCGUGUAGGCGGGAGGGCAAGUCAGAUGAGGAA